UGUAUGCAUGACUGUAAGUCACUUUGGAUAAAACUGUCUGCUAAAUAUUAUAUU
rfam:Salmo salar isolate Sally breed double haploid chromosome ssa09, whole genome shotgun sequence.